GAGUUUAAGACAGCAAUUCCCAGCUUUUUCAAAUAUGAAGCAUUUUUUAACCAAUCCGUUUUUUAAUUCUUAAAUUCUUGACAUUACAGAACUAAACUGAAAUUUAUUAACAUUCCACUCUUACAUUUCUUAUCGACAAACAGAAAUAAAAUUCAUGAGCCAAAAAACCCAAAACAAAACUAAAAACAGGGAAAAGCUUAUAAAACUAAAUAUGGAUCCCAGCAUUAACAGCUGAACAGAGAAUGUGAUUUUUAAAUUCUUAGCGGAUGAUAAAGUUGUGUAGAAACUGAACACUUACAAAUUAUUUAAAACCUGGAAUCACUGACCAGAAAUUACACAGUUGGAUCAUGGGAGAACAGCAGAAAGGGGUUAUUGAGGGAACCUACACUGUUCUAGCUGCACCCCAUGCCCUUCUCAGAGGAAAGCCUGGCAUUGAUUAGAUACUGGGCCAGACUAAUACUGGCAGCAGAGCCAGUGAUAGUAACCUGCCUACCAGAGGAGCCUUCCACUGGGUUGGCAAUUUUGAUCUGGGCCCCGGACAUCUGGCGGAUCUCAUUAAUGUUGGCGCCUUGGCGCCCGAUUAUGCAGCCAAUUAAGUUAUUUGGAAUGGUGAGUUCAUGGGUGGUUUGAGUAGAUGCAUCCAAACUUGCCCAAUAGCCUUUCACCUCUGGAGAGCUGGAGUCAAUUCCGGCGAAUCCGGUCCCGCCGUGCAUCAUGGCAAAGUGAGACUGUUGUCUUGCCACCUGGUUCAGCUUGGCCAGAUCGAGCGGAGAAAUGAGGAAGACAAACAUAAAGAUGAAGUGCUUAAUUCAAGGUCACACAAUGUCGGGGAUGGACCUCCAGAUUUCCUUACUGACCUGCAUUAUCUUGUGGAUACCUGAGUGAAUUCCACACCACCCAUUUUAUAGAUGAAACCACUGAGACAUGGAGCAAUUGACUGAGUAGUCACUGCCCCACCCCUGCCUGGAGCCUCACACAUGACUCGCCUCCUCUCAGUGACCACAGGUGAGACGUGGUCUUGUAACACAGUGGUUAAGAAUGUGACUUUGGAGCCAGCCUGCUAGGGGCUGAAUUCUGACUCAGCCAUUUACUAACUGUGUGACCUUAGGUCACAGAAUUUUCCACACUCCUUGACAGAGGUGCUUAACCCUUAUCCAUCAGCAUUCUCAGACAGCACCUCCGGUUAGGGACAGU
ensembl:lncRNA PCBP1-AS1 PCBP1 antisense RNA 1